rnacentral:tRNA from 1 species
GCCCUUGUAGCUCAAUUGGUAGAGCGCCUGCUUUACACGCAGGAUGUCGGCGGUUCGAUUUCGUCCAAGGGUA